rnacentral:rRNA from 1 species
GACGAACGCUGGCGGCGUGCCUAAUACAUGCAAGUUGAGCGCUGAAGGUUGGUACUUGUACCGACUGGAUGAGCAGCGCACGGGUGAGUAACGCGUGGGGAAUCUGCCUUUGAGCGGGGGACAACAUUUGGAAACGAAUGCUAAUACCGCAUAAAAACUUUAAACACAAGUUUUAAGUUUGAAAGAUGCAAUUGCAUCACUCAAAGAUGAUCCCGCGUUGUAUUAGCUAGUUGGUGAGGUAAAGGCUCACCAAGGCGAUGAUACAUAGCCGACCUGAGAGGGUGAUCGGCCACAUUGGGACUGAGACACGGCCCAAACUCCUACGGGAGGCAGCAGUAGGGAAUCUUCGGCAAUAGACGAAAGUCUGACCGAGCAACGCCGCGUGAGGGAAGAAGGUUUUCGGAUCGUAAAAAUCUGUUGGUAGAGAAGAACGUUGGUGAGAGUGGAAAGCUCAUCAAGUGACGGUAACUACCCAGAAAGGGACGGCUAACUACGUG